UAAAAGGCUUCUUUAAAAGCCACUGCUUUUCUCUUUAGGGUGAAAU
rfam:Cathartes aura contig30953, whole genome shotgun sequence.